rnacentral:lncRNA from 1 species
AACUGCAAACUGUUUUCAAUAAUAGUUAAGUCAUGAAUCAAGAAUAGAUUAAACUGAAAAAAGAAUCCACAGAACUAAUUUUUAUGUUUUUGCCUUAAAUUUCAUUCUCUAAAUUAGAGAGAGAGAAAACAAUUUCUAAACCAACCAGCCCAAAUCCAAAAAAUUGAAUAAAAAGUACAACCCAAAUAAAAAACCAGCCCAAAUCCAAAAAAUUGAAUAAAAAGUA